rnacentral:misc_RNA from 1 species
CUAAGGAGCAUCUACACUGCUCGCUCUGAACAGUCAGGGUCGAGAGUGUCAGAGCCGUUCAUGUCCUCGAAUGUGGGACUGCGGUGCUCAUGGGUGGAACGCUGACAACCUCAUCGCAUCGAGCUGGUCCUGUGUGGCCGGCUCGCGGUGAUAUACCGACACACUAUUGGGUCCUGAAAGAACAGACGUUCUUUCCAGGCAAGAAACGAUCCGCUCGGAUCUCUUCGAUACCUCCGGCUUCGGCUGGUCAGGUCAUGGAAUCUGGUUCGAUGCGGGUGUGUUGUUUGAGAACUGCACAGUGGACGCGAGCAUCUUUGUUUUGUAAGUGUUUAAGAGCGUUC